rnacentral:rRNA from 1 species
ACACGCAUGACACACUGCAUAUCAAUAAGCGGAGGAAAAGAAACUAACAAGGAUUCCCCUAGUAACGGCGAGUGAAGCGGGAAGAGCUCAAAUUUGAAAUCUUCAAGGUUUCUACCUUGACGAAUUGUAGUUUAUAAGAAGUGUUUUCGGUUAGAUGGAGUAGUCAAAAGUUCUUUGGAAUAGGACAUCAUAGAGGGUGAGAAUCCCGUAUUUGGUCAUUCUCUUCCUAGCUUUGUGAUACACUUUCAACGAGUCGGAUUGUUUGGGAAUGCAGUCCAAAAUGGGUGGUAAAUUUCAUCUAAAGCUAAAUAUUGGCGAGAGACCGAUAGCGAACAAGUACCGUGAGGGAAAGAUGAAAAGAACUUUGAAAAGAGAGUUAAACAGUACGUGAAAUUGUCAAAAGGGAAGCGUUUGACACCAGUGUUGUUUUUCCGAAAAUCAAUUACGAAUGUUUUGUUUUUGAGGAGUUAUGACUUCAUCGGCUUGCUCCUUUCUUUACGAAACUUUCUUAAUGCACUUUUCGGUUAACAAGUCAACAUCAAUUUCUUUUGUUGUAAAAGGGUAUGAGGAAGGUGGCUUUCUUUUCGGAGAAAGUGUUUAUAGCCUUGUGCCUCUGCAAUCGGAGAGAUUGAGGUCUGCAGCGUAGAUCCUUCGGGGUUAGAUACGUUUGUGCUAAGUUAUAGCUUUUCAUAGACAACUUGUUGACUAUGUUUAGUCUUGUAGCUUACUCGCUGACGCUAUUUUACCUACGCUUAGGAUGUUGAUCUACAGAGCGAGAGU